GGUUAAGCGACUAAGCGUACACGGUGGAUGCCCUGGCAGUCAGAGGCGAUGAAGGACGUGCUAAUCUGCGAUAAGCGUCGGUAAGGUGAUAUGAACCGUUAUAACCGGCGAUUUCCGAAUGGGGGAAACCCAGUGUGUUUCGACACACUAUCAUUAACUGAAUCCAUAGGUUAAUGAGGCGAACCGGGGGAACUGAAACAUCUAAGUACCCCGAGGAAAAGAAAUCAACCGAGAUUCCCCCAGUAGCGGCGAGCGAACGGGGAGGAGCCCAGAGCCUGAAUCAGUGUGUGUGUUAGUGGAAGCGUCUGGAAAGGCGCGCGAUACAGGGUGACAGCCCCGUACACAAAAAUGCACAUGCUGUGAGCUCGAUGAGUAGGGCGGGACACGUGGUAUCCUGUCUGAAUAUGGGGGACCAUCCUCCAAGGCUAAAUACUCCUGACUGACCGAUAGUGAACCAGUACCGUGAGGGAAAGGCGAAAAGAACCCCGGCGAGGGGAGUGAAAAAGAACCUGAAACCGUGUACGUACAAGCAGUGGGAGCCUCUUAAUGGGGUGACUGCGUACCUUUUGUAUAAUGGGUCAGCGACUUAUAUUCUGUAGCAAGGUUAACCGAAUAGGGGAGCCGAAGGGAAACCGAGUCUUAACUGGGCGUUAAGUUGCAGGGUAUAGACCCGAAACCCGGUGAUCUAGCCAUGGGCAGGUUGAAGGUUGGGUAACACUAACUGGAGGACCGAACCGACUAAUGUUGAAAAAUUAGCGGAUGACUUGUGGCUGGGGGUGAAAGGCCAAUCAAACCGGGAGAUAGCUGGUUCUCCCCGAAAGCUAUUUAGGUAGCGCCUCGUGAAUUCAUCUCCGGGGGUAGAGCACUGUUUCGGCAAGGGGGUCAUCCCGACUUACCAACCCGAUGCAAACUGCGAAUACCGGAGAAUGUUAUCACGGGAGACACACGGCGGGUGCUAACGUCCGUCGUGAAGAGGGAAACAACCCAGACCGCCAGCUAAGGUCCCAAAGUCAUGGUUAAGUGGGAAACGAUGUGGGAAGGCCCAGACAGCCAGGAUGUUGGCUUAGAAGCAGCCAUCAUUUAAAGAAAGCGUAAUAGCUCACUGGUCGAGUCGGCCUGCGCGGAAGAUGUAACGGGGCUAAACCAUGCACCGAAGCUGCGGCAGCGACACUAUGUGUUGUUGGGUAGGGGAGCGUUCUGUAAGCCUGUGAAGGUGGCCUGUGAGGGUUGCUGGAGGUAUCAGAAGUGCGAAUGCUGACAUAAGUAACGAUAAAGCGGGUGAAAAGCCCGCUCGCCGGAAGACCAAGGGUUCCUGUCCAACGUUAAUCGGGGCAGGGUGAGUCGACCCCUAAGGCGAGGCCGAAAGGCGUAGUCGAUGGGAAACAGGUUAAUAUUCCUGUACUUGGUGUUACUGCGAAGGGGGGACGGAGAAGGCUAUGUUGGCCGGGCGACGGUUGUCCCGGUUUAAGCGUGUAGGCUGGUUUUCCAGGCAAAUCCGGAAAACCAAGGCUGAGGCGUGAUGACGAGGCACUACGGUGCUGAAGUGACAAAUGCCCUGCUUCCAGGAAAAGCCUCUAAGCAUCAGGUAACAUCAAAUCGUACCCCAAACCGACACAGGUGGUCAGGUAGAGAAUACCAAGGCGCUUGAGAGAACUCGGGUGAAGGAACUAGGCAAAAUGGUGCCGUAACUUCGGGAGAAGGCACGCUGAUAUGUAGGUGAAGCGACUUGCUCGUGGAGCUGAAAUCAGUCGAAGAUACCAGCUGGCUGCAACUGUUUAUUAAAAACACAGCACUGUGCAAACACGAAAGUGGACGUAUACGGUGUGACGCCUGCCCGGUGCCGGAAGGUUAAUUGAUGGGGUUAGCGGUAACGCGAAGCUCUUGAUCGAAGCCCCGGUAAACGGCGGCCGUAACUAUAACGGUCCUAAGGUAGCGAAAUUCCUUGUCGGGUAAGUUCCGACCUGCACGAAUGGCGUAAUGAUGGCCAGGCUGUCUCCACCCGAGACUCAGUGAAAUUGAACUCGCUGUGAAGAUGCAGUGUACCCGCGGCAAGACGGAAAGACCCCGUGAACCUUUACUAUAGCUUGACACUGAACAUUGAGCCUUGAUGUGUAGGAUAGGUGGGAGGCUUUGAAGUGUGGACGCCAGUCUGCAUGGAGCCGACCUUGAAAUACCACCCUUUAAUGUUUGAUGUUCUAACGUUGGCCCCUAAUCGGGGUUGCGGACAGUGUCUGGUGGGUAGUUUGACUGGGGCGGUCUCCUCCUAAAGAGUAACGGAGGAGCACGAAGGUUGGCUAAUCCUGGUCGGACAUCAGGAGGUUAGUGCAAUGGCAUAAGCCAGCUUGACUGCGAGCGUGACGGCGCGAGCAGGUGCGAAAGCAGGUCAUAGUGAUCCGGUGGUUCUGAAUGGAAGGGCCAUCGCUCAACGGAUAAAAGGUACUCCGGGGAUAACAGGCUGAUACCGCCCAAGAGUUCAUAUCGACGGCGGUGUUUGGCACCUCGAUGUCGGCUCAUCACAUCCUGGGGCUGAAGUAGGUCCCAAGGGUAUGGCUGUUCGCCAUUUAAAGUGGUACGCGAGCUGGGUUUAGAACGUCGUGAGACAGUUCGGUCCCUAUCUGCCGUGGGCGCUGGAGAACUGAGGGGGCUGCUCCUAGUACGAGAGGACCGGAGUGGACGUAUCACUGGUGUUCGGGUUGUCAUGCCAAUGGCACUGCCCGGUAGCUAAAUGCGGAAGAGAUAAGUGCUGAAAGCAUCUAAGCACGAAACUUGCCCCGAGAUGAGUUCUCCCUGAGACUUAGAGUCUCCUGAAGGAACGUUGAAGACGACGACGUUGAUAGGCCGGGUGUGUAAGCGCAGCGAUGCGUUGAGCUAACCGGUACUAAUGAACCGUGAGGCUUAACCUU
rnacentral:rRNA from 1 species